UCUAAAGUUUAGUCAAGCUGCAGGGAAUGUUAAAGCCUGUCUUGGCCAGUUUAUCAAUGGAGAAAUCAUUAGUGAUCUUGGAAAGAGCAGUUUUGGAGCUCAAGGCAAGGGACUGAAGUGAGUAGGUUCAAGAGAAAAGGAAAGAAGAGGAAAAAGAGACAGAAUAUAGACAGCUCUUAAGGAAUUUUGCUGUAAAGGAAGUAGAGAGAUGACCUGAUAGCAGGAGGCAGAAGUGGCAACCAAGAGAAGGUGUUUUCGAUGAGAGAAAUAACUGCAUGUUUAUAUGCAAAUAAAACUGAUCCAGGAGGAAGGGUACAGUCUUUUAGAUUCGGGGC
rnacentral:lncRNA from 10 species